GUUGACCUCGGAUCAGGUAGGAAUACCCGCUGAACUUAAGCAUAUCAAUAAGCGGAGGAAAAGAAACCAACAGGGAUUGCCCCAGUAACGGCGAGUGAAGCGGCAACAGCUCAAAUUUGAAAUCUGGCCUCGGCCCGAGUUGUAAUUUGCAGAGGAUGUUUCUGGCGCGGUGCCUUCUGAGUUCCCUGGAACGGGACGCCAUAGAGGGUGGGAGCCCCGUACGGUUGGACGCCUAGCCUGUGUGAAACUCCUUCGACGAGUCGAGUAGUUUGGGAAUGCUGCUCAAAAUGGGAGGUAUAUCUCUUCUAAAGCUAAAUACCGGCCAGAGACCGAUAGCGCACAAGUAGAGUGAUCGAAAGAUGAAAAGCACCUUGAAAAGGGGGUUAAACAGCACGUGAAAUUGUUGAAAGGGAAGCGCCCAUGACCAGACUUGUGCCCGGCGGAUCACCCAGCGUUCUCGCUGGGGCACUCCGCCGGGUCCAGGCCAGCAUCGGUUUUCGCCGGGGGAUAAAGGCUCUGGGAACGUAGCUCCUCCGGGAGUGUUAUAGCCCUCUGCGUAAUACCCUGGCGGGGACCGAGGUACGCGCUCCGCAAGGAUGCUGGCGUAAUGGUCAUCAGCGACCCGUCUUGAAACACGGA
rnacentral:rRNA from 1 species